GCUGGAUGCAGUGGCCUGCACCUGUAGCCCUAGCUACCUGAGAGGCUGAGGCAGGUGCAUCGCUUGAGCCCAGGAGUUCAAGACCAGCCUGGGCAACAGAGUGAGAUCCAUU
rnacentral:sRNA from 1 species